rnacentral:ncRNA from 1 species
CUGGUUCCGGUUCACCCGGCUCGCGAGAGCAGGGACCCGGCGACC